rnacentral:tRNA from 2 species
GCCCUGGUGGCGGAAUUGGUAGACGCGCACGCUUGAGGGGCGUGUGACCUAACGGUCGUGAUGGUUCGACUCCAUUCCAGGGCA